UCCGUAGGCGGGCAAUUAAGUCAGAGGUGAAAUCCUGCAGCUUAACUGUAGAACUGCCUUUGAUACUGUUGAUCUUGAGUCAUUAUGAAGUGGUUAGAAUGUGUAGUGUAGCGGUGAAAUGCAUAGAUAUUACACAGAAUACCGAUUGCGAAGGCAGAUCACUAAUAAUGUACUGACACUGAGGGACGAAAGCGUGGGGAGCGAACAGGAUUAGAUACCCUGGUAGUCC
rnacentral:rRNA from 1 species